UACGGGGGGGGCAAGCGUUGUUCGGAAUUACUGGGCGUAAAGGGCUUGUAGGUGGCCAACUAAGUCAGACGUGAAAUCCCUCGGCUUAACCGGGGAACUGCGUCUGAUACUGGAUGGCUAGAGUGUGGGAGAGGGAUGCGGAAUUCCAGGUGUAGCGGUGAAAUGCGCAGAUAUCAGGAAGAACACCAAUGGCGAAAGCAGCUUUCUGGGACGGUACUGACGCUGAGACGCGAAAGCGUGGGGAGCGAACAGG
rnacentral:rRNA from 1 species